CGGUCUACGAGUAGUUACGGAACCGUCGGUCGGGCGACAGUCGUCGUACACAUGCAAGUCGAACGGCAGCACGGGAGCAAUCCUGGUGGCGAGUGGCGAACGGGUGAGUAAUAUAUCGGAACGUGCCCAGUCGUGGGGGAUAACGUAGCGAAAGCUACGCUAAUACCGCAUACGAUCUACGGAUGAAAGCGGGGGAUCGCAAGACCUCGCGCGAUUGGAGCGGCCGAUAUCAGAUUAGCUAGUUGGUGGGGUAAAAGCUCACCAAGGCGACGAUCUGUAGCUGGUCUGAGAGGACGACCAGCCACACUGGAACUGAGACACGGUCCAGACUCCUACGGGAGGCAGCAGUGGGGAAUUUUGGACAAUGGGCGCAAGCCUGAUCCAGCAAUGCCGCGUGCAGGAUGAAGGCCUUCGGGUUGUAAACUGCUUUUGUACGGAACGAAACGGUGAGCUCUAAUAAAGCUUGCUAAUGACGGUACCGUAAGAAUAAGCACCGGCUAACUACGUG
rnacentral:rRNA from 1 species